rnacentral:rRNA from 1 species
UACGUAGGGCGCAAGCGUUGUCCGGAAUUAUUGGGCGUAAAGAGCUUGUAGGUGGUUUGUCGCGUCUGCUGUGAAAAUCCGAGGCUCAACCUCGGACUUGCAGUGGGUACGGGCAGACUAGAGUGUGGUAGGGGAGACUGGAAUUCCUGGCGUAGCGGUGGAAUGCGCAGAUAUCAGGAGGAACACCGAUGGCGAAGGCAGGUCUCUGGGCCAUUACUGACACUGAGAAGCGAAAGCAUGGGGAGCAAACAGG